UGGGGAGAAGAUGGGGAUAAGGGUGAAGAGAAAAAAAAGAAAAGGGGAUGACAUGUGGGCCCAUGGGUGAUUGGUGGGUCCCACUAAAACAUACAACUAACGGUGUUACCCAAGCCAUCCAUCCCUCAUUUUCAAUCCAUCGUACCAAAAAAAACUAGGAUGAAUUUAUCCCUCUCAACCAAACAUCGGACGGGACGAUCCCAUCCCAAGAAAUAGGGACGGCACUGUCCCAUCCCUUCUUGUCUCCAAACCAAACACAUGGGAAUAUUCUCAUUCGAUGAUGUUUCAAUCCCACCUGACCCCAAUCAAACACUAUAAAAGUAGGAUGAUCUUGUCCAUUGCCAUCUCUCCAUCCAAAUACACCUUAAAUCUCAUCUCUCC
rnacentral:lncRNA from 1 species